rnacentral:rRNA from 1 species
GAGUAACGCGUGGGAACGUGCCUUCUGGUUCGGAAUAACCCUGGGAAACUAGGGCUAAUACCGGAUACGCCCUUUUGGGGAAAGGUUUACUGCCGGAAGAUCGGCCCGCGUCUGAUUAGCUAGUUGGUGGGGUAACGGCCUACCAAGGCGACGAUCAGUAGCUGGUCUGAGAGGAUGAUCAGCCACACUGGGACUGAGACACGGCCCAGACUCCUACGGGAGGCAGCAGUGGGGAAUAUUGGACAAUGGGCGCAAGCCUGAUCCAGCCAUGCCGCGUGAGUGAUGAAGGCCUUAGGGUUGUAAAGCUCUUUUAUCCGGGACGAUAAUGACGGUACCGGAGGAAUAAGCCCCGGCUAACUUCGUGCCAGCAGCCGCGGUAAUACGAAGGGGGCUAGCGUUGCUCGGAAUCACUGGGCGUAAAGGGCGCGUAGGCGGCGUUUUAAGUCGGGGGUGAAAGCCUGUGGCUCAACCACAGAAUGGCCUUCGAUACUGGGACGCUUGAGUAUGGUAGAGGUUGGUGGAACUGCGAGUGUAGAGGUGAAAUUCGUAGAUAUUCGCAAGAACACCGGUGGCGAAGGCGGCCAACUGGACCAUUACUGACGCUGAGGCGCGAAAGCGUG